rnacentral:lncRNA from 1 species
UAAAAGACAUUUUCAAACUAAAUCACUCUCCUUGUACUCUGUAGAAGGCAACAGACAUGGAUUUUGUGGCUAAUAUAUGUAUGAAUGUUUUUCUCAAAAAAAUAUACAACUGUCAGUAAAUUUCCUCUGAUUUCAGAUGGCACACUUGGAAAUAAUACCAUAAAGGCUCAUUAUUUUAAACAACUAUUGAUUACAUCUUGGGGAUUUUCACCAAUUCCACUUGAUGCUGCUUUUAAAAUGACUUUUAUGGAGUCUACUUGAGCGCUGAUCUUUGCAUGGAAAUAACAGAAAAUUCCAAGAAAUGGAAGCCGCUGCUAGUAAAAGAAGAAAAGCCGAGUAUCGUCAGGGUUAAUAGCUCCUAUUUGAGAUCCAUGAAUGAUUACAAAGUUACUUUUCUAUAUCGAACUUUCAAGUCUCAUUAAUAAUAUGCUGCCUCUCCAGGACACAGGUGCACUCACGGUACAAAGGCUAUCGGUUCAUCACAUGGA